rnacentral:misc_RNA from 1 species
AAGUCGUAACAAGGUUUCCGUAGGUGAACCUGCGGAAGGAUCAUUACUGAGUAUUUGUCUUUUAUAGACAUCUCUCUAUCCAUAAACUCUUUUUUUAAAAAGACAUGAUUUACACAAUUAGUCUGAAUGUUUAUUUAAAUCUUCAAAACUUUCAACAACGGAUCUCUUGGUUCUC